rnacentral:rRNA from 1 species
GACGAACGCUGGCGGCGUGCUUAACACAUGCAAGUCGAACGGAAAGGCCCUGCUUUUGUGGGGUUCUCGAGUGGCGAACGGGUGAGUAACACGUGAGUAACCUGCCCUUGACUUUGGGAUAACUUCAGGAAACUGGGGCUAAUACCUGAUAGGAGCUCCUGCUGCAUGGUGGGGGUUGGAAAGUUUCGGCGGUUGGGGAUGGACUCGCGGCUUAUCAGCUUGUUGGUGGGGUAGUGGCUUACCAAGGCUUUGACGGGUAGCCGGCCUGCGAGGGUGACCGGCCACAUUGGGACUGAGGUACGGCCCAGACUCCUACGGGGGGCAGCAGUGGGGAAUAUUGCACAAUGGGCGGAAGCCUGAUGCAGCAACGCCGCGUGCGGGAUGACGGCCUUCGGGUUGUAAACCGCUUUCGCCUGUGACGAAGCGUGAGUGACGGUAAUGGGUAAAGAAGCACCGGCUAACUACGUG